UAGGCAGUAGCUCAGUGGUAGGGCUCCCGCUUCGUAUGCGGGAGACCUGGGUUAGAUUCGCGGCCGCUUAC
rfam:Toxocara canis scaffold1008, whole genome shotgun sequence.